CGUAGGGGGCAAACGUUGUCCGGAAUGACUGGGCGUAAAGGGCGAGUAGGUGGUUUGCCAAGUCAGGAGUGAAAACUCCGGGCUCAACCUGGAGAUUGCUACUGAAACUGGCAGACUUGAGUGCAGGAGAGGGAAGCGGAAUUCCUAGUGUAGCGGUGAAAUGCGUAGAUAUUGGGAGGAACACCAGUGGCGAAGGCGGCUUCCUGGCCUGUAACUGACACUGAGGCGCGAAAGCGUGGGGAGCGAACAGGAUU
rnacentral:rRNA from 1 species